rnacentral:ncRNA from 1 species
AAAAGUUUUAUUCUAGUAAUAGUAAUUAUUUAAUUUAUUUUUUAAAUAUAUUUAUUUAGAUUUAUUAAAUGUAAUUUAUCAAAUUUUUUAUUAACUAAAGUUAGAAAAAGAAUUAAAUUUUAUUAUAGAUUAAUAUUGUGCCAGCAAUCGCGGUUAUACAAUUUAUAAAAGUAAUUAUUAUAAAAUUGAAUUUUAUUAAUUUAUUUAAAAAUAAAUUAAAUUUUAGUAAUUUUGGGUAAAAUUUAAUUAUAAUUUAAUUUAUUUUUAAUUAAGUGAUUAUAAUUAAAAGAUUAAAUAUUAAACUAGGAUUAGAUACCCUAUUAUUUUGAUUGUAAAUGGUUAUUUGGGUAGUAUCAGCUAUAGUCUAAAAACUCAAAGAAUUUGGCGGUAUUUUAUUUCGGUUAGAGGAAUAUGUUUAUGAAUUGAUAAUCCACAAUAAUCUAACUUAAAUUUGUUUAGCAUUUUGUAUAUCUCCGUCAUAAGAAUUUUUUAUUAGAAAAUUUAUCUGAAUAUAAUUAUAUAAAAUGUCAGGUCAAGGUGCAGAUUAUGUUUAAGGUUAAAUGUAUUACAAUAAAUUUAUUUUUUGGAAUUUUUUUUGAAAAUUAAAUUGAAAUUGGAUUUAAUAGUAAAUUUAAAAUAUUAAUUUAAGUUGAAAUGAUUUUAAAAUAUGUACAUAUCGCCCGUCACUCUCUUUAUAAAAGAGAUAAGUCGUAACAAAGUAGAUUUAUUGGAAAAUGAAUCUGGAAUUU